GCGCCCGUAGCUCAGUAGGAUAGAGCGACCGCCUCCUAAGCGGUAGGCCGUGGGUUCGACUCCCGCCGGGCGUGCCA
rnacentral:tRNA from 1 species